GACGAACGCUGGCGGCGUGCUUAACACAUGCAAGUCGAGCGGUAAGGCCCUUUCGGGGGUACACGAGCGGCGAACGGGUGAGUAACACGUGGGUGACCUGCCUUUAGCUCUGGGAUAAGCCUGGGAAACCGGGUCUAAUACCGGAUAUGACUCCGCGGCGCAUGUUGUGGGGUGGAAAGCCUUGUGCGGCUGGAGAUGGGCCCGCGGCCUAUCAGCUUGUUGGUGGGGUGAUGGCCUACCAAGGCGACGACGGGUAGCCGGCCUGAGAGGGCGACCGGCCACACUGGGACUGAGACACGGCCCAGACUCCUACGGGAGGCAGCAGUGGGGAAUCUUGCGCAAUGGGCGAAAGCCUGACGCAGCGACGCCGCGUGAGGGAUGACGGCCUC
rnacentral:rRNA from 1 species